rnacentral:rRNA from 1 species
UCGAGCGAGAAAGCCCNUUCGGGGUGAGUACAGCGGCGGACGGGUGAGUAACGCGUAGGAAUCUACCCAGUAGUGGGGGACAACUAGUGGAAACGCUAGCUAAUACCGCAUACGCCCUACGGGGGAAAGCGGGGGACCUUCGGGCCUCGUGCUAUUGGAUGAGCCUGCGUAAGAUUAGCUUGUUGGUGAGGUAAUGGCUUACCAAGGCGACGAUCUUUAGCUGGUCUGAGAGGAUGAUCAGCCACACCGGGACUGAGACACGGCCCGGACUCCUACGGGAGGCAGCAGUCGGGAAUAUUGCGCAAUGGGCGAAAGCCUGACGCAGCCAUGCCGCGUGUGUGAAGAAGGCCCUAGGGUUGUAAAGCACUUUCAAUUGGGAGGAAAAGCUAAUGGUUAAUAACCAUUAGCCCUGACGUUACCUUUAGAAGAAGCACCGGCUAACUCCGUGCCAGCAGCCGCGGUAAUACGGAGGGUGCAAGCGUUAAUCGGAAUUACUGGGCGUAAAGCGCGCGUAGGCGGUUUUUUAAGUCGGAUGUGAAAGCCCCGGGCUCAACCUGGGAACUGCAUCCGAUACUGGAUGACUAGAAUGCGGGAGAGGGAGGUAGAAUUCCAUGUGUAGCAGUGAAAUGCGUAGAUAUAUGGAGGAAUACCAGUGGCGAAGGCGGCCUCCUGGCUCGACAUUGACGCUGAGGUGCGAAAGCGUGGGGAGCAAACGGGAUUAGAUACCCCGGUAGUCCACGCCGUAAACGAUGUCUACUAGCUGUAGGGGUACUUGAGACCUUUGUAGCGCAGCUAACGCAAUAAGUAGACCGCC